GCUGAUGACAUGAUGUAAACAAAAGGCCGAAUUGUAGCUCUUCCGUCGAGCAGUUUGUUCUGUGUACGGAUGGAGCGUUGACAAAAACUAGACCGAAGCGUAUAGCUGAUCCAUCAGU